ensembl:piRNA 21ur-861 ncRNA
UUUGGUGAUAGUCUGCGUAAU